GAUGAACGCUGGCGGCGUGCCUAAUACAUGCAAGUCGAGCGAACAGACGAGGAGCUUGCUCCUCUGACGUUAGCGGCGGACGGGUGAGUAACACGUGGAUAACCUACCUAUAAGACUGGGAUAACUUCGGGAAACCGGAGCUAAUACCGGAUAAUAUAUUGAACCGCAUGGUUCAAUAGUGAAAGACGGUUUUGCUGUCACUUAUAGAUGGAUCCGCGCCGCAUUAGCUAGUUGGUAAGGUAACGGCUUACCAAGGCAACGAUGCGUAGCCGACCUGAGAGGGUGAUCGGCCACACUGGAACUGAGACACGGUCCAGACUCCUACGGGAGCAGCAGUAGGGAAUCUUCCGCAAUGGGCGAAAGCCUGACGGAGCAACGCCGCGUGAGUGAUGAAAGUCUUCGGAUCGUAAAACUCUGUUAUUAGGGAAGAACAAAUGUGUAAGUAACUAUGCACGUCUUGACGGUACCUAAUCAGAAAGCCACGGCUAACUACGUG
rnacentral:rRNA from 1 species